rnacentral:lncRNA from 1 species
GGGGAUGGUUAACAAGCAGUGUUAAAGAAGCUGUAAAAGGCAAGGAGGCAUCCUUAAAGAAAAAGCAGAUGUCUUGCCCAAAGAAAGAAAAUAAACAGGAGUAUAACCUAUGGCAAAAUAAAUGUAAAUUGACAAGGAGGCAAGCAAAAGAAGAACUUGAGUAGCAUUUUUUUGAAACCCAUUAACAACAUUUUGAAAAGUCUUCCGAUAUUCAAAAGCAGGAAAUCGGCUAAGCUAGUGGUUGGACCUCUGGAGAACAAAAUUGUGGAACUAUAACUGAGGGUGAGAUUGCAAAAGAAGCUGAACGGAAGCUUAUUUAUUCUUACUUAUUUUACACUGCUUUAUAACUGACGUUCUCUAAGUGGUUCACAAUAAAAUAAAACAAAAAACAGCAGCAACGCACUCAAUAAAAAACAACAAAGCCCACUUUUAACUCUCCAAAAGUAAACAUGACAGGAGUUGAAAUUGUAGUCCUUUUGGUUUAAAACCGACUCAGUAAAAAAGCUUUUUGUGAUAGAGAAUUUAUUACUUUCUUCCUAAUGUUUAAUAGCACGAUCAAGUGAGUCCCUCUGGACAGUGAGUUUCAGUAGAAGUCUGGCAUUACUAGAUCAGUCUUCCCCCACCUGGCUCCCUUCAGAUAUUUUGGACUACAACUCCCAUCUACCCCAUGCAGCUAUUAGGAUCGUCCUACUCGCGUGUAAGACCCUGGCAGAGACACAUGCCUGACUGGCAUGUUCUCUCCCUCCUGGUCGGUCGUUCGGGAACUUCAAAAGCUUUGUCCAGCCCGAACAUCACAGCGACUGAUACCAAAAGGCAUUAGCACUCUUAGGGAUCCUGCAGAGUAUUUGCAGUUUGCGUAACAAACUCAGUAGCACAGCAUUUUGGCUAAUCUACGUUUAUGUACAUAUAAUACACUUGGAGCAUUCUGACUUAGCUGCUUCCUCUUUCUCAUCGGACAGCAAAGAGAAAGAAACAAAGGACAAUAGUCCUACGUUCCGGAACACAGUAAUACAAAACAUCCUGUCUCCGUCACUUCCCACACUGUGGAAUGAAAACAUACACCUUCAUGUGAUAGACAACAAUCCCAUAACUGCAAGCACAGAGCAAGAAUCCUAACAGUAGCAUGGGGUGGAUGGCUGUAGUCCAAGAUUUCUGGAGGGCAUCAGUUGGGGAAAGCUGCUCCUGGCUAAUUAGCUAUCCCUUGCUUUUCAGAUGGAAGGGCACUCAUGAAAGAUCCUGCUUGGACCUUCUCAAUUCACAAAAGGGACUAUGUGAGAGGAGGAAUCACUUUGCAUAAAAUUGGACCCAAGCUGUGUAGGUCUUAAUUAAAAAUCAAAGCCAGAACCUUGAAAUGAACUUGAGUGGAAACCCACCAGUUGCCAAAGUAGAGUUGAUUUAGUACAGGUAUUAUGCACCAUUUUGGCUGCUGCAUUUAGGUCUAAUUAAAGCUUCCAAAUCAUCUUCGGUGCAUAUGCAAUGUCCUACAUGGAAGUGAUAUUUAAGCAAGAAAAUAAUCAUAUCUGAAUGUGACAAUGUUCCCAAUGGAGACUGUAAUCAAUCCCUCCCAUCCUUGUUUUCCCUGCUCCAUCAUGUCCCUCAUUGAUUGUAUAAUUGAACAGUUUCUCAGCAAACAAAGGCCAAACAUACUCAUAAGCUUGUCAUGGGGGGGGGGGGUAAUGGGAGAGGGUGAUUGCUUUGCCCUAACCAGGUAAGGAUAAAUAGUUGGGGCUUGCAGCAGGCCCCAACAGAGGCCCUGCGGCAGAGGUGCAGGCCCUGGCCCAGUCACUGCCAGGGUGCUGAAGCACCAGAGGCAAGGCAGAGGCCGGCGGUGGCAGCAGGUGGGCGGAGGCUGGGUACCCACAGAUUUUUUUUGUGGGUGUCCAGGCCCCCAGGGCACCCUGGAGUUGGUGCCCCAGACCCUAACACUUCAGCAGCAGCACCCACUCACUCCAUUAGGAUAUGUGUCACUAGCACAGUAUAUUCACACAAGACCCACCCUAACCACAGGAGAAGACAUUAUGGAGAGCUGUUUGUGGGCCUCAUGAUGAACAUAAGGAUAAUCACAGAAUGUUGAGCUUAGGAGUGAGAGAGUUAAGCCCAAAUCCAUCCUUAAUCACAUGGACCCUCUAGGGAGGUCACGAUAUCUCACUCUAAUUAUCAGGAGAACUGUAAAGUAUUUCACAUACUGAUUGUUCAUCACUGCGCAGUAUGUGGAGCUACUUUUAGAUAUGCAUAUCUUCAGAAGGAAGGUGUUGGGCUAUCUUUAAGCCAGUCUGUUCAGUUCUGGUUUCAAAAUACGUCAUUUCAUAUUUUCUCAGCAAUACCGAGAGUCAAAGGAGCUCCCCUCCCCACAGCUCCAACUGCCAUCCUGGAUUGCCAUUUCCUAUAGCCUUAAAUAAAGGUGCUUUGGCAGAGUCCCCCUGAGUGAUGCAUGAGCUCAUCAAAGCAGUUCAUCCUUGUAGCCCAAGGCUCUGCGUUGAGCAUAAUUAGGGUUGGGUGAAUCUGUCAAUUUUGGUUUCUCUGAGUUGCUCAUUUAUCCAAUCUUAGGUUCAGUACGCUACAUUUGCACAUCAUUUUCUGAUGUAUGUAUAUGUGUGUAUAGGUGUGUGUGUGUGUGUGUGUGUGUGUUGUCCUUAUGAAAAUGCAACAGCGUUCUACUGUGAAUUUCUCCCAAUAUACACAUAUUUGUAUGCAAUUCUGUUUAAUACACACACUUUCCCCAAGCAGUUUCCCCUAAAGUAAUGUAUUUUGUACGUUGUUGGUUUUUUUACUAACAUUUAUAUGCACAAUGCAUAUUAUUUAUUUAUAUGCACAAUUUACUCUAGCAUAUGCAAUAUUUUUGCACAUUACUUGGUUAGCAAGCUGCAUUUCGAAAUUCAGAGAAGUGUAAAUUCCUUAACAAACAAACAAUUAAUUCAAUACUGAAAUGCUGUAAGCCGAUUUGAAUCCCAACUUGGGGGGAAAUGUGAUAUAUAAAUACAUUAAGUAAAUACAACAACAACAACAACAACAACAACAACAACAACAACAACAGUACUGAGGGGAAGGGACAAUGUAGUUGCAGCUGCUGGUUGCAGGUCUUAUUGCACUCCAAGUAGCCUCAGCAGCUUGGCCUAAAUAUAGUUCAGAGGGGAGAGGUCUUCUCCCCAGACUAGAUGCCCUUCAGAUGACCUAGAUGACCUUCAUCUUUUCUCCAGAGAAGGCUAAGAGCAGCAAAAUCAAAAUUGAUGGGGAAGGCAAUGGUGGUAAGAAUUCUUCUCUAGCUUCCUGAAGUUUCAAAUGCUGGUGCUGUUCUCACAGGAUGGCUUUGUUACCAUUCACAUUUUGGAAAAUAUGAAUGAGGUAGGCUCACCUUUGAAUGCAAACUGAAUCAAAUCUCCCACCUAUCCCUAGCCAUGUGCAAACUCAAAGAAGCAGUUAAUCCUUAUACUGGCGAGAUUCUGCCCAAACCUGAAUGGAGCAACAGUUGCUAACUCGGACCCAUCCUGAGACACAGUUGCCACAGCAAACAGCAAAUUCCAGCGAGAUUUCACAUGCAGCUUUGUGAUUCAAAGUACCUAUGGAGAUAUUUUGAUAAAAGCCACAGGGAUAGGAAAGGAAACAAAUAUGAGAAGUCCACAGAAUGGUGUCUCUCUUUCUCUAUCCUCAUUCCAUUGCUCGAUAGUCCAACAACGGUUGCUGAUCAAUCAAUGUGUAAUGCUUUACAGAACCUUUGUUUGGCACACACACAAGUUUGGGCAUUCUUUGAAGGCAUCUUCCAUUUUGAUUGAUUUUACAUUUUUGCAAUUUCCAGAAAUGAUGGGCAUUGUGCAUCUUCGCCUGAUUCACAUUGAUUUACAUGGGUGGAAUUGCAGGAAAUCAGGGCAAUUACUGCUUUAGUGACUGUGGGGGAUGGCAUGCCCCCCCCCC